GGUUAAGCGACUAAGCGUACACGGUGGAUGCCCUGGCAGUCAGAGGCGAUGAAGGGCGUGCUAAUCUGCGAUAAGCGCCGGUAAGGUGAUAUGAACCGUUAUAACCGGCGAUUUCCGAAUGGGGAAACCCAGUGUGAUUCGUCACACUAUCAUUAACUGAAUCCAUAGGUUAAUGAGGCGAACCGGGGGAACUGAAACAUCUAAGUACCCCGAGGAAAAGAAAUCAACCGAGAUUCCCCCAGUAGCGGCGAGCGAACGGGGAGGAGCCCAGAGCCUGAAUCAGCAUGUGUGUUAGUGGAAGCGUCUGGAAAGGCGCGCGAUACAGGGUGACAGCCCCGUACACAAAAGCGCAUGUGCUGUGAGCUCGAUGAGUAGGGCGGGACACGUGGUAUCCUGUCUGAAUAUGGGGGGACCAUCCUCCAAGGCUAAAUACUCCUGACUGACCGAUAGUGAACCAGUACCGUGAGGGAAAGGCGAAAAGAACCCCGGCGAGGGGAGUGAAAAAGAACCUGAAACCGUGUACGUACAAGCAGUGGGAGCACCCUUCGGGGUGUGACUGCGUACCUUUUGUAUAAUGGGUCAGCGACUUAUAUUCUGUAGCAAGGUUAACCGUAUAGGGGAGCCGGAGGGAAACCGAGUCUUAAUUGGGCGUUAAGUUGCAGGGUAUAGACCCGAAACCCGGUGAUCUAGCCAUGGGCAGGUUGAAGGUUGGGUAACACUAACUGGAGGACCGAACCGAC
rnacentral:rRNA from 1 species